rnacentral:rRNA from 1 species
GGCGGUGGGGCAGCUAUACAUGCAAGUCGAACGAACUCUGGUAUUGAUUGGUGCUUGCAUCAUGAUUUACAUUUGAGUGAGUGGCGAACUGGUGAGUAACACGUGGGAAACCUGCCCAGAAGCGGGGGAUAACACCUGGAAACAGAUGCUAAUACCGCAUAACAACUUGGACCGCAUGGUCCGAGUUUGAAAGAUGGCUUCGGCUAUCACUUUUGGAUGGUCCCGCGGCGUAUUAGCUAGAUGGUGGGGUAACGGCUCACCAUGGCAAUGAUACGUAGCCGACCUGAGAGGGUAAUCGGCCACAUUGGGACUGAGACACGGCCCAAACUCCUACGGGAGGCAGCAGUAGGGAAUCUUCCACAAUGGACGAAAGUCUGAUGGAGCAACGCCGCGUGAGUGAAGAAGGGUUUCGGCUCGUAAAACUCUGUUGUUAAAGAAGAACAUAUCUGAGAGUAACUGUUCAGGUAUUGACGGUAUUUAACCAGAAAGCCACGGCUAACUACGUGCCAGCAGCCGCGGUAAUACGUAGGUGGCAAGCGUUGUCCGGAUUUAUUGGGCGUAAAGCGAGCGCAGGCGGUUUUUUAAGUCUGAUGUGAAAGCCUUCGGCUCAACCGAAGAAGUGCAUCGGAAACUGGGAAACUUGAGUGCAGAAGAGGACAGUGGAACUCCAUGUGUAGCGGUGAAAUGCGUAGAUAUAUGGAAGAACACCAGUGGCGAAGGCGGCUGUCUGGUCUGUAACUGACGCUGAGGCUCGAAAGUAUGGGUAGCAAACAGGAUUAGAUACCCUGGUAGUCCAUACCGUAAACGAUGAAUGCUAAGUGUUGGAGGGUUUCCGCCCUUCAGUGCUGCAGCUAACGCAUUAAGCAUUCCGCCUGGGGAGUACGGCCGCAAGGCUGAAACUCAAAGGAAUUGACGGGGGCCCGCACAAGCGGUGGAGCAUGUGGUUUAAUUCGAAGCUACGCGAAGAACCUUACCAGGUCUUGACAUACUAUGCAAAUCUAAGAGAUUAGACGUUCCCUUCGGGGACAUGGAUACAGGUGGUGCAUGGUUGUCGUCAGCUCGUGUCGUGAGAUGUUGGGUUAAGUCCCGCAACGAGCGCAACCCUUAUUAUCAGUUGCCAGCAUUAAGUUGGGCACUCUGGUGAGACUGCCGGUGACAAACCGGAGGAAGGUGGGGAUGACGUCAAAUCAUCAUGCCCCUUAUGACCUGGGCUACACACGUGCUACAAUGGAUGGUACAACGAGUUGCGAACUCGCGAGAGUAAGCUAAUCUCUUAAAGCCAUUCUCAGUUCGGAUUGUAGGCUGCAACUCGCCUACAUGAAGUCGGAAUCGCUAGUAAUCGCGGAUCAGCAUGCCGCGAUCUAAGUGCCUGUAGG